rnacentral:pre_miRNA from 1 species
UUAAUUUUAAUUUGUAUAGAGAUCCAUCGUUUGCCUACGUUUGCCGCUAGGAGCGCUGUUCCAACUGCAUACAAAUUUGAGUUA